rnacentral:rRNA from 1 species
UACGUAGGGGGCGAGCGUUGUCCGGAUUUAUUGGGCGUAAAGAGCUCGUAGGUGGUUUGGUAAGUCGGAUGUGAAAUCUCCAGGCUCAACCUGGAGGGGUCAUUCGAUACUGCCAUGACUAGAGUUCGGUAGGGGAGUGUGGAAUUCCUGGUGGAGCGGUGAAAUGCGCAGAUAUCAGGAGGAACACCCGUAGCGAAGGCGGCACUCUGGGCCGGAACUGACGCUGAGGAGCGAAAGCGUGGGGAGCGAACAGG